AGCGAACGCUGGCGGCAGGCCUAACACAUGCAAGUCGAACGAACUCUUCGGGGUUAGUGGCGGACGGGUGAGUAACACGUGGGAACGUGCCCUUUGGUUCGGAAUAACUCAGGGAAACUUGUGCUAAUACCGAAUGUGCCCUUCGGGGGAAUGAUUUAUGGCCAUUCGAGGGGCCCGCGUCUGAUUAGCUAGUUGGUGAGGUAACGGCUCACCAAGGCGACGAUCAGUAGCUGGCCUGAGAGGAUGACCAGCCACACUGGGACUAAGACACGGCCCAGAAUCCUACGGGAGGCAGCAGUGGGGGAUCUAGCGAAAUGGGCGAAAGCCUGACGCAGCCAGGACGCGUGAAUGAUGAAGGUCUUAGGAAUGUAAAAUUCUUUCAACGGGGACGAUAAUGACGGUACCCGGAGAAGAAGCCCCGGCUAACUUCGUG
rnacentral:rRNA from 1 species